AUUGCAACGUCGCGAGAUGCCUUGAGUUGAGUUUCCAAAUCAGCCUGUGUCUGGGGUUGCAUGUGGGCCCGCAACAGAGGUUGCUGAUGUGUACCACUCAUUGAAGCAUUAUUCUGUGGAAUAGAGCUGCUAUCUUUUUUCCUUAUUUGCAGCUUCUUGGUUUCCUGAAUGAUAUCUGCCGUACGAUUCUCCACAACUGCAAGACCCUCCUCAAAAGCAUUUCCAAUGGUCCCGCCAAUAUAAUUAAGGGAAGAUGCAAGAGCAUCUAAUCCCUUCUGUAGUUUAUGGCCCUCAGCUUUUCUACGGCUUUCAGGCAACUGUUUUCUGUCAUAUUGCUGACCAAUGGUUGCAUUAUCAGGCAUAUGCUGCAUUCUUGUGCUUACUUCACUUAGAUGUGGUUGGUCUGUAUUAUUAUCAUCAAUAAUAGAUUUUGCUUUCCUAGCCAAUACUCCCCAAAUACCUUGUUUGGAUUCACUCAAGUUUUUCAUUGAUGUAUACUCAUAGAUGGACGAAUCCUUAGCUGUUGAAACCGGAGCAGAAGAUCGUAAGGGAUUUGAGUCGCGAGGAGAUGAUUGACCAUAGAUGGGGGAGAGAGAAGAGUCUUUGUAUGGUAAUGAUGCAGUUGAAACCGGAGCAGAAGAUCGUAAGGGAUUUGAGUCGCGAGGAGAUGAUUGACCAUAGAUGGGGGAGAGAGAAGAGUCUUUGUAUGGUAAUGAUGCA
rnacentral:misc_RNA from 1 species